rnacentral:rRNA from 1 species
GCUGGCGGCGUGCCUAAUACAUGCAAGUCGAGCGGUAGCAGGGCUUCACCGUUCUCUUGUCACACUUGGCUUAUUAGCAAGUUGGUUGAUACGAGGGAACAGUGAAGCUGCUGACGAGCGGCGGACGGCUGAGUAACGCGUGGGAACGUACCCCAAAGUAAGGGAUAACUAGUCGAAAGAUUAGCUAAUACCGUAUGUGAUCUUCGGAUUAAAGAAUUUAUUCGCUUUGGGAACGGCCUGCGUACGAUUAGAUAGUUGGUAGGGUAAUGGCCUACCAAGUCGACGAUCGUUAGAUGGUUUGAGAGGAUGAUCAUCCAGACUGGGACUGAGACACGGCCCAGACUCCUACGGGAGGCAGCAGUAGGGAAUCUUUCACAAUGGGCGAAAGCCUGAUGGAGCAACGCCGCGUGCAGGAUGACGGCCUUCGGGUUGUAAACUGCUUUUAUAAGCGAGAAAUAUGAUGGUAACUUAUGAAUAAGGAUCGGCUAACUACGUGCC